AACGAACGCUGGCGGCAUGCCUAACACAUGCAAGUCGAACGAGACCUUCGGGUCUAGUGGCGCACGGGUGCGUAACGCGUGGGAACCUGCCCUUAGGUUCGGAAUAACUCCCCGAAAGGGGUGCUAAUACCGGAUAAUGUCUUCGGACCAACGAUUUAUCGCCUUUGGAUGGGCCCGCGUUGGAUUAGCUAGUUGGUAGGGUAAAAGCCUACCAAGGCGACGAUCCAUAGCUGGUCUGAGAGGAUGAUCAGCCACACUGGGACUGAGACACGGCCCAGACUCCGACGGGAGGCAGCAGUGGGGAAUAGUGGACAAUGGGCGAAAGCCUGAUCCAGCAAUGCCGCGUGAGUGAUGAAGGCCUUAGGGUUGUAAAGCUCUUUUACCCGGGAUGAUAAUGACAGUACCGGGAGAAUAAGCUCCGGCUACUCCGU
rnacentral:rRNA from 1 species